GAUGAACGCUGGCGGCGUGCCUAAUACAUGCAAGUCGAGCGGACGGACGAGAAGCUUGCUUCUCUGAUGUUAGCGGCGGACGGGUGAGUAACACGUGGAUAACCUACCUAUAAGACUGGGAUAAUUUCGGGAAACCGGAGCUAAUACCGGAUGAUAUUUUGAACCGCAUGGUUCAAAAGUGAAAGACGGUCUUGCUGUCACUUAUAGAUGGAUCCGCGCUGCAUUAGCUAGUUGGUAAGGUCACGGCUUACCAAGGGAACGAUGCAUAGCCGACGUGAGAGGGUGGUCGGCCACACUGGAACUGGAACACGGUCCAGACUCCUACGGGAGGCAGCAGUAGGGAAUCUUCCGCAAUGGGCGGAAGCCUUGCGGAGCAACGCCGCGUGAGUGAUGAAGGUCUUCCGAUCGGAAAACCCUGUUAUUAGGGAAGAACAUAUGUGUAAGUAACUGUGCACAUCUUGACGGUACCUAAUCAGAAAGCCACGGCUAACCACGUG
rnacentral:rRNA from 1 species